rnacentral:tRNA from 1 species
GGACCUUAGCUCAGUCGGUUAGAGCGUCUGACUCAUAAUCAGAGGGUCGCUGGUUCGAGCCCGGCAGGGUCCA